GUGGAUUAGAUACCCGGGUAGUCCACGCCCUAAACGAUGAAUACUCGCUGUUAGCGAUAUACAGUUAGCGGCUAAGCGAAAGCGUUAAGUAUUCCACCUGGGGAGUACGCCCGCAAGGGUGAAACUCAAAGGAAUUGACGGGGGCCCGCACAAGCGGAGGAGCAUGUGGUUUAAUUCGAUGAUACGCGAGGAACCUUACCCGGGCUUGAAAGUUAGUGAAUGAUCUAGAGAUAGAUCAGUCCGCAAGGACACGAAACUAGGUGCUGCACGGCCGUCGCCAACU
rnacentral:rRNA from 1 species